AACGAACGCUGGCGGCAGGCCUAACACAUGCAAGUCGAACGCCCCGCAAGGGAGGUGGCAGACGGGUGAGUAACGCGUGGGAACGUGCCCUUCGGUUCGGAAUAACUCAGGGAAACUUGAGCUAAUACCGGAUACGUCCGUAAGGAGAAGAUUUAUCGCCGAAGGAUCGGCCCGCGUCGGAUUAGCUAGUUGGUGAGGUAACGGCCCACCAAGGCGACGAUCCGUAGCUGGUCUGAGAGGAUGAUCAGCCACACUGGGACUGAGACACGGCCCAGACUCCUACGGGAGGGCAGCAGUGGGGAAUAUUGGACAAUGGGCGAAAGCCUGAUCCAGCCAUGCCGCGUGAGUGAAGAAGGCCUUAGGGUUGUAAAGCUCUUUCAGCGGGAAGAUAAUGACGGUACCCGCAGAAGAAGCCCCGGCUAACUUCGUGCCAGCCGCCGCCGUAAG
rnacentral:rRNA from 1 species